rnacentral:rRNA from 1 species
UACGUAGGUGGCAAGCGUUGUCCGGAUUUACUGGGCGUAAAGAGCGCGCAGGCGGUCGUGCAAGUCGCGUGUGAAAGCCCCCGGCUCAACUGGGGAGGGUCACGCGAUACUGCUCGACUCGAAGGCAGGAGAGGGAAGUGGAAUUCCCGGUGUAGUGGUGAAAUGCGUAGAUAUCGGGAGGAACACCAGUGGCGAAGGCGACUUCCUGGCCCGUUCUUGACGCUGAGGCGCGAAAGCUAGGGUAGCAAACGGG